CAAUAGCGUAUAUUAAAGUUGUUGCGGUUAAAAGCUCGUAGUUGGAUUUCUGCCGAGGACGUCCGGUCCGCCCUCUGGGUGAGUACAUGGCACGGCCUGGGCAUCUUCUUGGGGAACGUAUCUGCACUUGACUGUGUGGUGCGGUAUCCAGGACUUUUACUUUGAGGAAAUUAGAGUGUUUCAAGCAGGCACACGCCUUGAAUACAUUAGCAUGGAAUAAUAAGAUAGGACCUCGGUUCUAUUUUGUUGGUUUCUAGAGCUGAGGUAAUGAUUAAUAGGGAUAGUUGGGGGCAUUCGUAUUUAACUGUCAGAGGUGAAAUUCUUGGAUUUACGAAAGACGAACAACUGCGAAAGCACUUGCCAAGAGUGUUUUCAUUAAUCAAGAACGAAAGUUAGAGGAUCGAAGACGAUCAGAU
rnacentral:rRNA from 1 species